UGGCUGCAACAAUGGAGAUUCUCUACAGA
rnacentral:piRNA from 2 species